UUCCGUAGGUGAACCUGCGGAUGGAUCAUUUCCACUAUUAAAACAAAAAAAGAGAAGGGAGAUUUUGUCGAAAGUGCGAAUGAAAGUUUGCACUAGAUGAUUUCAAACUCUCUUUUUUUAAUAAUUAACAAACCUUUUAACGUGAAUUGUUAUUGUACAAAACAUUUUUAUAAACGUAAGUUUUAAGUUUUGAUACUAUUCAAAAUGAAAAACAAACGUUAAACAAAAUAGAAUUGGUUUUUUACAAUUAAAAAAAAGUAACCAAAAACAACUCUUAACAACGGAUGUCUUGGUUCUCGCACCGAUGAAGAACGCAGCGAAAUGCGAUACGUAAUGUGAAUUGCAGAACUCAGUGAAUCAUCGAAUCUUUGAACGCAUAUUGCGCUUUUGGGUAUUCCCAGGAGCAUACUUGUUUGAGUGUCCUUUACAACAUUGUUGAAAAACAGAAAUUGAAUGUUUCAAUUUUAAUCACUUGCUUACAGGUUGAUUAAAAUUGACAUUUGAAAGAUAUGUAGAUUCAUAAUUGAAGAAUCACUUUUGUACAAUUUGAGUUUUUCACAAUCAAAAACUAAGUUUUACAAAAA
rnacentral:rRNA from 1 species